GAUGAAGAACGUAGCGAAAUGCGAUAAGUAAUGUGAAUUGCAGAAUUCAGUGAAUCAUCGAAUCUUUGAACGCACAUUGCGCCCGCCAGUAUUCUGGCGGGCAUGCCUGUCCGAGCGUCAUUUCAACCCUCGAACCCCUCCGGGGGGUCGGCGUUGGGGAUCGGCCCUGCCUCUUGGCGGAGGCCGUCUCCGAAAUACAGUGGCGGUCUCGCCGCAGCCUCUCCUGCGCAGUAGUUUGCACACUCGCAUCGGGAGCGCGGCGCGUCCACAGCCGUUAAACACCCAACUUCUGAAAUGUUGACCUCGGAUCAGGUAGGAAUACCCGCUGAACUUAAGCAUAUCAAUAAGCGGAGGA
rnacentral:misc_RNA from 1 species